UUGGAGGAACUUUGGUAGAACUGGAGAGACAACGUGAAGAGUAUUCCUAAUCUGUGACCUUUGUGGAAGUGGCAGAAAGAGGACUUGUCCAUCACUGAACUAUUUUCAAGCAGCACAGCUCUUAGGGCCUUGGUCCGACAGGCUGUGCUGCGCUGUCCAAGUUCCGGAGUCCUGGUGCUGCUCCAAGGCCGCCAGCCUUGCAGAGGAGAAGAUGGUUUUGUUUAGUUUGCUUAUAUGAAGAAAAAAGUCUGUCAAAAUAGGGAUUUGGAAAGGGGAGGGGGGAAGCAGGAAGUCUUCCUGUUGGCAUUUAUUAGAUGGGAAAUUAAUGUUUUAUGUUCAGGGGCCCUGUUGGAUGUCAGUGCUCAGGGACGGUGGUGUGGUGAAAGCCUCCUGACUUCUUGAGUGCAGGGUGCGAAUGUGAUCUGGAAUAAGCAAGAAAGGGCUAAAUAUAGAAGCCGCUGGCUCCCAUCCUGCAAUGGCGGCUCUGCCCUCGCUGCAGUCCUGGAGGCAGCAAGUUCUGCCUAUUGUUCCGGUCACAUUCUUGUGUCCCACGAUGGGGCCUCUGUGAUGGAAUAAAAUGAAGAGAAACAGAUGGGAAAACAAUAACCCGAGGAACAGGCCCUGAGCUUUGCUGGAAGCUUCCAAAAACCCAUAAAUCCCCAAAUGCAUUUGUGCUGGAUUAGGGAACUGAAGCAAAGCAAGGGCCAAGUACUUGCCUUCCUGUAUCCCAUGUGCUCUUGUUGAACAGACAGCUCUCUAUGGGGGCUCUACCUUGCCACAAACUAUUGUAGUGGAAACUCUGUUUCCUUAAUCUUUUAAUUCUGGCAACUUCCCCAGCUGUCCUUUCUCUGCACUCCAUGACCUUUUUGUCUUGCAGGCCCCUGGAUAAAGGGACUGCACAACGAGCCAGCCCACCUUUCCAUCGUUCUCAUGUGCAACGGAGCUGGAUGCAAGAAAAACAUGGUGGAACCCUUGCUAGGCAGUGGUGCAGUCUCUCUGGCUGGCUGGAUCCCCUGCAUCUGUGAGAAACAGCUCUGCUGCCAACUUCACUAUUCCCCCUCUUCCUCCAUGGAGGAAAGACUUCUGAGCCUGCUGAGAGUUGCCCAAUUGUGUGGGACAGUGGCAGGGAUGUGACUACAGAGAAGUGCAUAUGCUUGUCUCCGGAGAGUCUCCACAGCUCUGCAGAAGUGCUCUCAAUAGCUACCAGAAGCAUGACUUGCACAGAUCCUGCUGACUAUCUCAUGUGGGAGGAAGAAAAUAUCUUACUCCAGCAGUGAGGUGGGUCCCUGGGAUCCCUGAAUUUCUGCAAUUCACAGCAGUCCUGUCCUCCCUGGUGAGUGAAGAAGUAGAGACCAUGCUUUCAAUCCAUGCGGCAUGGUUUGCCACUGCUGAAACUGUCUACGUGAAAGCACACAAGCAGAAUUGUCAACAACCGCUCAGGUAUUCUCCUUUGCUAGGCUGUCCUGAGCCAGUAUAGCAGGUGUUGGCCUCUUGAGGAAACUCUGCUAUCAAGUGGAUGUUGCUCUAGUUGAGAAGUAGGCAACUAGUGGAAGUAAUUUGCUCCUUGAGUCAGUGUACAUGGCUUGACCUGGAGACCUCUGCUUCUUGAAAUUCAGAGAGUAAUCCUUAGCUACAAGCCUGGAUCUGUUAUGGAAAACAUUAACAGGAGGUGUAUUGUAUGUGGCAUUUGGCCCUUGAAGUAACCUGAGCAUAUCCAAUGCAAGCCCAUCUCAUCUGUGAACCUGAGACACAAGUGGCACGUGUAAAUGGCUGUCUGCCAUCAUUUGGUUGAUCCCGAGUAGGAAGUGUUCACUUGCUUGUGGCUUCCAUCUCUUCUGUUAUCCUACCCCUCCAGUGAACAUAAAGCUCACAGUGGUAUUGAAGUGGGAGAAGCACAUAGCUGAGAGGCAGCGAGAAGAACCUGCUUACUGCAGUCUGCGUACUCAACUUUCUUACCUCAUCAUCAAGAAAUAUUUGAGAAAAAACUCAGUGGCUCAGCCUUUUGAGGUGAUUUCUGCAGCUGUUGCUUAGUUAUACAUAAGGGACCCAGGGGGAGAAUACAUUCAGAAGUAGUUCUGACAAAAUGGAAGAUUGAGGCCUGUCAAAUAGGCAGCAAAUGCAACAACUGAACAGCCCAGUUCAUUGCUGGAGAGGAGGAGCUGUGACUUGUUAUCUAAAAGAAGGCAAAUAUUGGCUUUGAGACUUUCAACCAGAACCAGACAUGUGAUCAGAAAAUUAUAUUUGUUUCUGUCU